rnacentral:rRNA from 1 species
GUGCCAGCCGCCGCGGUAAGACAGAGGAUGCAAACGUUGCUCGGAAUUACUGGGCGUAAAGCGCGCGCAGGUGGUCGGAUAAGUCGGGUGUGAAAUCCCGGGGCUCAACCUCGGAAGUGCCCUCGAUACUGUCGGACUUGAGUACUGGAGAGGAGAGCGGAAUUCCCGGUGUAGAGGUGAAAUUCGUAGAUAUCGGGAGGAACACCAGUGGCGAAGGCGGCUCUCUGGACAGAUACUGACACUGAGGCGCGAAAGCGUGGGAAGCAAACAGGAUUAGAUACCCGCGUAGUCC